GGGCUAUUAGCUCAGUUGGUUAGAGCACACCCCUGAUAAGGGUGAGGUCCCUGGUUCAAAUCUAGGAUAGCCCA
rnacentral:tRNA from 1 species